rnacentral:rRNA from 1 species
AUGGCCUACAGGGGGCAGCAGUGGGGAAUAUUGCACAAUGGGGGAAACCCUGAUGCAGCGACGCCGCGUGAGCGAAGAAGUAUCUCGGUAUGUAAAGCUCUAUCAGCAGGGAAGAAAAUGGCGGUACCUGACUAAGAAGCCCCGGCUAACUACGUGCCAGCAGCCGCGGUAAUACGUAGGGGGCAAGCGUUAUCCGGAUUCACUGGGUGUAAAGGGAGCGCAGGCGGCGCGGUAAGUCUGAUGUGAAAGCCCGGGGCUCAACCCCGGGACUGCAUUGGAAACUGUCGUGCUGGAGUGGCGGAGGG